rnacentral:miRNA from 1 species
GCCCACAGCGACCUGGGGGCCUUUUAAAAUGCAGAUUUUGAUUGAGAACAUACGGAUUGGAGCCUGAGAUUCUGCAUUUCUAACAAGCUUCCAGGUGAUGCUGCU